rnacentral:rRNA from 1 species
GAUGAACGCUAGCUACAGGCUUAACACAUGCAAGUCGAGGGGAAACGACAUCGAAAGCUUGCUUUUGAUGGGCGUCGACCGGCGCACGGGUGAGUAACGCGUAUCCAACCUGCCCAUCACUUGGGAAUAACCUUGCGAAAGUAAGACUAAUACCCAAUGACAUCCCACGAAGACAUCUGAAUGGGAUUAAAGAUUUAUCGGUGAUGGAUGGGGAUGCGUCUGAUUAGCUUGUUGGCGGGGUAACGGCCCACCAAGGCAACGAUCAGUAGGGGUUCUGAGAGGAAGGUCCCCCACAUUGGAACUGAGACACGGUCCAAACUCCUACGGGAGGCAGCAGUGAGGAAUAGUGGUCAAUGGGCGAGAGCCUGAACCAGCCAAGUAGCGUGCAGGAUGACGGCCCUAUGGGUUGUAAACUGCUUUUAUAAGGGAAUAAAGUGGGUCUCGUGAGACUUUUUGCAUGUACCUUAGGAAUAAGGACCGGCUAAUUCCGU